CCUACGGGUGGCAGCAGUCGAGAAUUAUUCACAAUGGGGGAAACCCUGAUGGUGCGACGCCGCGUGGGGGAAUGAAGGUCUUCGGAUUGUAAACCCCUUUCAUGUGGGAGCAAAUUAAAAAGAUAGUACCACAAGAGGAAGAGACGGCUAACUCUGUGCCAGCAGCCGCGGUAAUACAGAGGUCUCAAGCGUUGUUCGGAAUCACUGGGCGUAAAGGGUGCGUAGGCUGUUUCGUAAGUCGUGUGUGAAAGGCCCGGGCUCAACCCGCGGACGGCACAUGAUACUGCGAGACUAGAGUAAUGGAGGGGGAACCGGAAGUCGCGGUGUAGCAGUGAAAUGCGUAGAUAUCGAGAGGAACACUCGUGGCGAAGGCGGGUUCCUGGACAUUAACUGACGCUGAGGCACGAAGGCCAGGGGAGCGAAAGGGAUUAGAUACCCGUGUAGUC
rnacentral:rRNA from 1 species